rnacentral:rRNA from 1 species
ACUUUUGGACACUGGGGGAAACCCUGAUGCAGCCAUCCCGCGUGUAGGAUGAAGGCCUGCGGGUCCUAAAGCACUUUAGGCAUAGAAGAAAAGGUAUCUCCUAAUACGAGAUACUUCUCACGCUAUCUGCAGAAUAAGCACCGGCUACGUACGUGCCAGCAGCCGCGGUAAUACGUAGGGUGCAAGCGUUAAGCGGAAUUACUGGGCCUAAAGCGGGUGUAGGCGGUUCGGAAAGAAAGAUGUGGAAGCCCAGGGCUCAACCUUGGAACUGCAUUUUUAACUGCCGAGCUAGAGUAUGUCAGAGGGGGGUAGAAUUCCACGUGUAGCAGUGAAAUGCGUAGAUAUGUGGAGGAAUACCGAUGGCGAAGGCAGCCCCCUGGGAUAAUACUGACGCUCAGACACGAAAGCGUGGGGAGCAAACAGG